rnacentral:rRNA from 1 species
CCCUUAGAUGUCCUGGGCCGCACGCGCGCUACACUGAGUGUCUGAGAUACGAGUCUGCCUGGUCCGGCAAGGUCUAGGUAAUCGCUAAAAGACACAUCAUGCUUGGGAUAGAUUAUUGCAAAUAUUAAUCUUGAACGAGGAAUUCCUAGCAAGCGCAAGUCAACAGCUUGCGUUGAUUACGUCCCUGCCCUUUGUACACACCGCCCGUCGCUACUACUGAUUGGAUGUUUAAGCGAGGUUCUCGAACUGCUAGCGACUUAGCUUCGGUGAGGUCGCAGUGUGGGAAGUGAACCUAGCUUUGGUGUCUAGAGGAAGUAAAAGUCGUAACA